AAUGAACGCUGGCGGCGUGCCUAACACAUGCAAGUCGAACGAGAAAGCCUGGCUUGCCAGGCAAGUAAAGUGGCGCACGGGUGAGUAACGCGUGGGUAAUCUACCUUCGUUUGGGGGAUAACCUACCGAAAGGUGGGCUAAUACCGCAUAACGUGAUCAAAUUGCGAUUUGAUCACCAAAGAUGGCCUCUCCAUGGAAGCUAUCGAGUGAAGAUGAGCCCGCGUCCCAUUAGCUAGUUGGUAAGGUAAGAGCUUACCAAGGCUACGAUGGGUAGCUGGUCUGAGAGGAUGGCCAGCCACACUGGAACUGGAACACGGUCCAGACUCCUACGGGUGGCAG
rnacentral:rRNA from 1 species